rnacentral:rRNA from 1 species
AUAAAAUUUAUUUAUUAAUAUUUUUGUAGUUUAUUAUAUUUUAUUAAAAAUAAUUAUAAAAUUUUAUUUUUUUAGUAGUAUAUUAUGAAAAAAUAUUUUUAAUAAUAGUUUAUUAGUAUUGUAAAAGAAAAUUGAAAUAAUUUGAAAAAUUUUUAUAAAAAAAGUAAAUUUAAUUUAUUGUACCUUGUGUAUCAGGGUUUAUUAAUUAAGAAAUAAAUUUUUAUUGUUCUCGAAUUUAAAAGAGUUAAUAAAUUAUAAAAGUUAUUGUGAUAAAAUUAUUUUUAAUAAUUUAUUUGAAAUGAAAAGUUAUUCGUUUUUAAAUAUAUCUAGUUUUUUAAGAAAUAAAUUUAAUUUAAAAUUUUUAAAUAUAUUUUAUUAAUUUAAUAAUAAAAUAUUUUAAAAAUUAAAUAUUUUAUGGGAUAAGCUGUAAAAUAAAUUUUUAAAAAUGUUAAAUAAUUUAUAUAAAUAUAUGUUUAGAAUUAGCAAUUAUUAAUAAUUUUGUUAUAAAUUAUUUAAAAAAUUAUAUUAUUUAUUGGUAUUUUAAUUAUUUAUUAAAAUGUUUAUUUUAAUUAUAUAAAUAAAUUAAUAAUGAUAAAAUUAGUAUAUGUUUAUUUAAUUAUAAUUAUAUUUGAUAAGUUUAUAUAAAGAAUUCGGCAAAAUUAAUGUUCGCCUGUUUAACAAAAACAUGUCUUUUUGUAUUUAAAUGAAAAGUCUGACCUGCCCAUUGAUAUUUAUUUAACGGCCGCAGUAUAUUAACUGUGCAAAGGUAGCAUAAUCAUUAGUUUUUUAAUUGAAAGCUGGAAUGAAUGGUUGGACGAAAUAUUAACUGUUUCAUAUAAAUUUAUAAUAGAAUUUAAUUUUUUAAUUAAACUUAAAUUUUAAGUCUGUUCGACUUUUAAAUUCUUACAUGAUCUGAGUUCAAACCGGUGUGAGCCAGGUUGGUUUCUAUCUUUAAUAAAUUAAAAUAUUUUAGUACGAAAGGAGUAAAUAUUUAAAUUAUAAAAUUUUAUAAAUUGAAUUUAAUUAAUAUAU